GUGGGGAAUAUUGCGCAAUGGGCGGAAGCCUGACGCAGCGACGCCGCGUGAGGGAUGACGGCCUUCGGGUUGUAAACCUCUUUCAGCAGGGACGAAUGUAGACGGUACCUGUAGAAGAAGCACCGGCCAACUACGUGCCAGCAGCCGCGGUAAUACGUAGGGUGCGAGCGUUGUCCGGAAUUAUUGGGCGUAAAGAGCUCGUAGGCGGUCUGUCGCGUCGAAUGUGAAAACCCGGGGCUCAACUCCGGGCUUGCAUUCGAUACGGGCAGGCUAGAGUUCGGUAGGGGAGUCUGGAAUUCCUGGUGUAGCGGUGAAAUGCGCAGAUAUCAGGAGGAACACCGGUGGCGAAGGCGGGACUCUGGGCCGAUACUGACGCUGAGGAGCGAAAGCGUGGGGAGCGAACAGGAUUAGAAACCCUAGUAGUCC
rnacentral:rRNA from 1 species